rnacentral:rRNA from 1 species
AUUGAACGCUGGCGGCAGGCCUAACACAUGCAAGUCGAGCGGAUGAAGGGAGCUUGCUCCUGGAUUCAGCGGCGGACGGGUGAGUAAUGCCUAGGAAUCUGCCUGGUAGUGGGGGAUAACGUCCGGAAACGGGCGCUAAUACCGCAUACGUGCUGAGGGAGAAAGUGGGGGAUCUUCGGACCUCACGCUAUCAGAUGAGCCUAGGUCGGAUUAGCUAGUUGGUGGGGUAAAGGCCUACCAAGGCGACGAUCCGUAACUGGUCUGAGAGGAUGAUCAGUCACACUGGAACUGAGACACGGUCCAGACUCCUACGGGAGGCAGCAGUGGGGAAUAUUGGACAAUGGGCGAAAGCCUGAUCCAGCCAUGCCGCGUGUGUGAAGAAGGUCUUCGGAUUGUAAAGCACUUUAAGUUGGGAGGAAGGGCAGUAAGUUAAUACCUUGCUGUUUUGACGUUACCAACAGAAUAAGCACCGGCUAACUUCGUG